GAAGUUCUCUGUUUGGUUUCUAGUCUCUUUAUUCUUUCUAUUCUCUUGUUUCCGAAGCUCCAUUGCUUCUAAGUUAUUAAGUUCUAUUUUAAUUUCACAAACACAUGUUAUCAACACAAUUAUUUUUCUUUUAUUUUUCAUAUAUGUAUUUUAUUGGUUAAAUUAUAAUUUUGGUUUUCCUACGAUUUUAAAUUCGCGGAUUUAAAAUUAUAGAAGAGCAAAAUUACAAUUUAUUCUAUUUUAUUUUAUUUUAACUAUUUUAAAUAAUAAAAUUUUAAUUUUAUUACUCUUCCUCGAUCUAAGCUUAGAAUAAGCGUUAGGUGCUACGUUAUAACGGGUACAGCACUAAUUAUCAUGCGUAGGUGGGACUUUUAAUAUGGUUAUAAAUUUAUUGUAAAAUUAUUAUUGUUUUUUAAUGUUCUUUAAUUAAAUAUCUGAUACUGGUACUUGUUCAUUUUGAAAUAUCCGUGCAUCGAUGUUUAAGUAAAAGGAAAUUAAGACGAAUAAAGAUGCAGUUGAGAAAGUUAGAAAGACCAUACCAGCUACAUUUUAUUUUUCAUUUAUAUUUUUAUCUAUCCGUUCAUGAAAUUUUUUAUAUCACGUUAACAUUGUCAUA
rnacentral:lncRNA from 1 species